GCGGCAAUUGAUAUGGCUAUAAAGGAAAAUUUGUUUGGCUCCGAUGAGCACGUAAAAAAAUGCGCCAAAGCAACCCAACUGCUGGUGAAAAGAAUGGAUGAUCUUUUCGACGAAUUGGAUUGCAAGACGCUUUGCAAUCCAAAUGAGCGAAGACGACCAAUAAAAAGAGGUUGUAUUGAAAAAAUUAAUAGAUUAAAAGAUCACAUUCAGUACAUAAGGAAUAUGAAAAAGCCCAAAAGCCAAAUAAUAUGCCUCGAUUCGUUUAUAUUAACAAUAAAUGCAAUGAUUGCAUUGAGCGGCGAUAUAUUCGAAGAAUAUUCGAAUGUAUCCUUUAUACUCUUAGGGAGAAUGAACCAGGACGCACUGGAAAACUUUUUUUAUAGGAUACGGGCAAAUUUAGGAUGUAAUAAUCAUCCAUCAGCACACGAGAUGCAAUAUAUUGUUGCAAGGUUAGUAUCCAUGCAUAUAUUGCGACGCAACUUCUCGCAAACAGGCAGCAAUUGCGAAGAAGACGACGAUGAAAACCUUGAUUGGAAUAUUGGCCAGGAAGACGACCUUAAAGAAAAUUUAAAACCGUCUGAGCAACUUGCCGUGGAACAAAUAUAUGUUCCAGAUGAGCACUUUGCUCAGACCGAAAAACCAGCAGAAAUACAGGUUCGUCGCUAUUAUACUGGAUAUGCAAUAUACCAGAAGGUUUUCUGCAGAUUAAAAUGCGAAAAAUGUGCAUAUUUAAUGAGGAAGAGUGAUACCUCUCUACAAGCCUCAUCGGAAGCCCUUAUAAGGUCUAAAAAUUAUAAAAGCGCGGAUGACCUAAGGCUGGUUAAUCCCAAUGAUAGAGUCUUCGAGAUAAGCCGCCUUCAAAUGAGCCUCUAUAAAGAUUUGUUUAAGGAAAAUUCUUGCAGAGUGGGUAUAAAAUCGAUGAUUUUAGCCCAGAUUACUACAAUUACCGAACAAAAAUACCCAGAGUGGUACAGCGAGGCUGGAGAUUGCCUCGAGCAUAGGCACCAAUUUUUAGAUUUUUUAAUAACAGUUUUACUGUUUAAAAACGCGAAAUGGCUGGCACAGCAGCAGGAAGAGUCUUACAAAAAUGAAGUUAGGGCGAGAUAUUACAAUAAAAGAGAGAAACUAAAGAAACUGGUAACAUAAGUUGAUUGUAGGCCAUAUUUAAUUUUUCUAGCAACUUCCGUGUUAUAAAAGAUUCUUCAAAAACUAAUAAUGUUCUUUUUAUUUUUUUCAGGGUAGAAUUAAGUUGUAAAUAGUUUGUAGUAGUAGUAGUAGGUUUAGUAUUAGUUAUUGUUAGUUAGUUUUAGUAUUUAUUAAUUUAGUAAGUAGUAUGAACACGUGAGCCAAGCUUUGAAAAAAGCCGGUGAAAAAGACCUAAUCUUUAUUGAUUAGGUUGUGUGAGAAUUUGCCAUUGUACAUGCUCAAUUCUGCUAAAUAGCAGCGAGAAUGGUGAAAUUCCGUGUCGCAAUUUUAUAAGCUCUGUUAACCGUCCAAUCGAACAUCAUACAGAAUUCAAUUUGCACCUUCUCUAUGUUUUAAGUUCUCUGCUUCAAUCUUAUAAGCUCUGUUAGCCGUCCAAUCGAACAUCAUACAGAAUUCAAUUUGCACCUUCUCUAUGUUUUAAG